rnacentral:ncRNA from 1 species
UGGAGGACUGAAGUGGAGAAGGGUUUCGUGUGAACAGUGGUUGAUCACGAGUUAGUCGGUCCUAAGUUCAAGGCGAAAGCCGAAAAUUUCAAGUUUUAAAAAUGUCAAAUGAAAUAAUAAAUAAUAAAACACUUGAAUAAUUUUGAACGAAAGGGAAUACGGUUCCAAUUCCGUAACCUGUUGAGUAUCCGUUUGUUAUUAAAUAUGGGCCUCGUGCUCAUCCUGGCAACAGGAACGACCAUAAAGAAGCCGUCGAGAGGUAUCGGAAGAGUUUUCUUUUCUGUUUUAUAGCCGUACUACCAUGGAAGUCUUUCGCAGAGAGAUAUGGUAGAUGGGCUAGAAGAGCAUGACAUAUACUGUUGUGUCGAUAUUUUCUCCUCGGACCUUGAAAAUUUAUGGUGGGGAUACGCAAACUUCUCAACAGGCCGUACCAAUAUCCGCAGCUGGUCUCCAAGGUGAAGAGUCUCUAGUCGAUAGAAUAAUGUAGGUAAGGGAAGUCGGCAAAUUAGAUCCGUAACUUCGGGAUAAGGAUUGGCUCUGAAGAUUGAGAUAGUCGGGCUUGAUUGGGAAACAAUAACAUGGUUUAUGUGCUCGUUCUGGGUAAAUAGAGUUUCUAUCAUUUAUGAUAGUUAUUUGUUCCCCGGAUAGUUAGUUACGUAGCCAAUUGUGGAACUUUCUUGCUAAAAUUUUUAAGAAUACUAAUUUUUAAUUAGUUCUUUUAAAUUAUAACGAUUAUCAAUUAACAAUCAAUUCAGAACUGGCACGGACUUGGGGAAUCCGACUGUCUAAUUAAAACAAAGCAUUGUGAUGGCCCUAGCGGGUGUUGACACAAUGUGAUUUCUGCCCAGUGCUCUGAAUGUCAAAGUGAAGAAAUUCAAGUAAGCGCGGGUCAACGGCGGGAGUAACUAUGACUCUCUUAAGGUCGGAGCAAUUUGCGAAGACCUCGAACUAGGAGACAGUUAAGACAACAAGAGUACGCACAGGUUCAGCGUCGUUGGGAUAAGAAUACUGGGAGAUGCAUUAAAUCCUUGCUUGAUGGAACAGAUGAGUCGGUUAUGCCAAACCAAGAGAUAAUGGAACCCUAUUGGAAACAAGUAAUGACGAAUCCCAGCACAUGCUCUUGCGAUAACACAAGAUUCCGUAUGGAACAUUCGCUUGAGACGGU